rnacentral:rRNA from 1 species
UACGGAGGGGGCUAGCGUUGUUCGGAAUUACUGGGCGUAAAGCGCACGUAGGCGGCUUUGUAAGUUAGAGGUGAAAGCCCGGGGCUCAACUCCGGAAUUGCCUUUAAGACUGCAUCGCUAGAAUUGUGGAGAGGUAAGUGGAAUUCCGAGUGUAGAGGUGAAAUUCGUAGAUAUUCGGAAGAACACCAGUGGCGAAGGCGACUUACUGGAGACAUAUUGACGCUGAGGUGCGAAAGCGUGGGGAGCAAACAGG